CAGCUUGGCCAACACAAGCCUUUCAAGGGUAUUCAUGACUACAGAGGUCAGUGCGACAGGCCUGAAGUCAUUAAGACAAGUAAUCCUUGCCUUUUUGGGUAUAGGGACAAUAUUGGAGACUAUGAAGCAGGCAGGGACAGUACAUGUUUACAGGGACUGGUUAAAAAUGUCUAUGGACCGGUGCCUGCU